rnacentral:misc_RNA from 1 species
CGAAAUGCGAUAAGUAAUGUGAAUUGCAGAAUUCAGUGAAUCAUCGAAUCUUUGAACGCACCUUGCGCUCCUUGGUAUUCCUUGGAGCAUGCCUGUUUGAGUAUCAUGAAAUCUUCAAAGUAAAUCUUUUGUUAACUCAAUUGGUUUCUAAUUUGGUAUUGGAGGUCUUUGCAGCUUCACACCUGCUCCUCUUUGUUCAUUAGCUGGAUCUCAGUGUUAUGCUUGGUUCCACUCGGCGUGAUAAGUUAUCUAUCGCUGAGGACACUGUAAAAGGUGGCCAAGGUAAAUGCAGAUGAACCGCUUCUAAUAGUCCAUUGACUUGGACAAUACUUUUAUGAUCUGAUCUCAAAUCAGGUAGGACUACCCGCUGAACUUAAGC